rnacentral:rRNA from 1 species
GCAGACGGGUGAGUAAUGCGUAGGAAUCUACCUAGUAGUACGGAAUAGCCAUUAGAAAUGGUGGGUAAUACUGUAUAAUCCCCGAGGGGGAAAGAUUUAUCGCUAUUAGAUGAGCCUACGUUAGAUUAGCUAGUUGGUGAGGUAAUGGCUUACCAAGGCUAUGAUCUAUAGCUGGUCUGAGAGGACGAUCAGCCACACUGGAACUGAGAUACGGUCCAGACUCCUACGGGAGGCAGCAGUGGGGAAUAUUGGACAAUGGGCGAAAGCCUGAUCCAGCUAUGCCGC